rnacentral:rRNA from 2 species
UUAAAUUGAAGAGUUUGAUCAUGGCUCAGAUUGAACGCUGGCGGCAGGCCUAACACAUGCAAGUCGAACGGUAACAGGAAGCAGCUUGCUGCUUUGCUGACGAGUGGCGGACGGGUGAGUAAUGUCUGGGAAACUGCCUGAUGGAGGGGGAUAACUACUGGAAACGGUGGCUAAUACCGCAUAACGUCGCAAGACCAAAGAGGGGGACCUUCGGGCCUCUUGCCAUCAGAUGUGCCCAGAUGGGAUUAGCUUGUUGGUGAGGUAACGGCUCACCAAGGCGACGAUCCCUAGCUGGUCUGAGAGGAUGACCAGCCACACUGGAACUGAGACACGGUCCAGACUCCUACGGGAGGCAGCAGUGGGGAAUAUUGCACAAUGGGCGCAAGCCUGAUGCAGCCAUGC